UACGGAGGGUGCGAGCGUUGUCCGGAAUCACUGGGCGUAAAGGGCGCGUAGGCGGCCCGGCAAGUCAACGGUGAAAGCUUGGGGCUCAACCCCGAGUCGGCCGUCGAUACGUUCCGGCUGGAGCACUGUAGAGGCAGGUGGAAUUCCGGGUGUAGCGGUGGAAUGCGUAGAGAUCGGAAAGAACACCAACGGCGAAAGCACUCUGCUGGGCCGACACUGACACUGAGAGACGAAAGCUAGGGGAGCGAAUGGG
rnacentral:rRNA from 1 species